CAAAAAACGAGACAAACUCACAUCUUUUUACUCCACUUUUGGGGUUUUGACCAUGAAACGAAAAUACGAAGCGGAGCCACUAAACCGGAACUGCAUCACAAACCAAUGGAAAUACCAGACGGCGAACUCUCCUAAAGCACGCGGCGGAUUAAUACGUUCUCAACAGCCAGAUCACAAACGUGACCUGGACCUCAUCACGCAGUACGUCGGCUCAGCGAACCAAGUGGCGGAUGAAUAUCGUUAACCAGUGAGAGUGAGUCGCUGGUUAACGCGAGAGUGAGUCGACUUUUGAAAACCGGCGCGACAGCUCGGAAAAGAAAGAGCCUGAGGGGAUCUCCUCCCGCUCCAUGCGGUCUAUCGGAGGGACGCCUUUUAUGGCUACUUGUCCUGCACCAUCCCCGCCACUGGUCGUUGUAUCGGUGGCUGAGAACAAGACUAACCGUGACUUUGGAGCGACCCGGAUGUACCUGCGGGGAAGACCGGCUGCGGUAAAAGUGUAACCCUCAAACAGAUCGCUUGAUGGUUGGCGAUGGAGGCCAGUUGCACACCUGCUGCAGGGCACCUGGCUGGAAGCGGGUCCGCCAAGGUCACUGACCUCCGCACCGCUGUCAAGGAUGAUGCAAGCAAACAGCAACAUUCAUGUUCGUCAAUGUGAGAACGGUGGACCGUUUCUACUGUCUGAUCCGUGAUCUGAAGCAGUUACGAGGCCAGCUGGACGCAGUCGUCGAUGACCAGAUCCCAAGAGCGCCAGACGUCUACAAAGCUGCAGACACUAAAGACAUUUUGAACUGCCUCAAGAAAGAUGUAUGAAGUUGCUCAUUAUUUGUAAAUUGAAGGCCAUUUUACAUUUAUUUGAAAGGUUUUUCUGUCUGAAUAUUUUAUGAAUAUUCUGUUUAACUCCACUAAAUAUUUUUGUUUAAAUACAGUAUAGACGUUGUUAGAUAUCUGCAUGUUAUAAUGUAAAAACUAUUUAUUUUAAUGUGAGAAAUAAAGGAUUUUUGCAACAA